rnacentral:rRNA from 1 species
GGACCCGCACAAGUAGUGGAGCAUGUGGUUUAAUUCGAAGAUACGCGCAGAACCUUACCAACACUUGACAUGUUCGUCGCGACUUUAAGAGAUUAAAGUUUUCGGUUCGGCCGGACGAAACACAGGUGCUGCAUGGCUGUCGUCAGCUCGUGUCGUGAGAUGUUGGGUUAAGUCCCGCAACGAGCGCAACCCUCACUUUUAGUUGCCAUCAUUAAGUUGGGCACUCUGAAAGAACUGCCAGUGAUAAGCUGGAGGAAGGUGGGGAUGACGUCAAGUCCUCAUGGCCCUUACGUGUUGGGCUACACACGUGCUACAAUGGUAUCUACAACAGGAAGCAAGACUGCGAAGUUAAGCAAAUCCCUAAAAGAUACCUCAGUUCGGAUUGCACUCUGCAACUCGACGGCAUGAAGUCGGAAUCGCUAGUAAUCG